rnacentral:rRNA from 1 species
UCCGUAGGUGAACCUGCGGAAGGAUCAUUAACGCG